rnacentral:rRNA from 1 species
AUUGAACGCUGGCGGCAUGCCUUACACAUGCAAGUCGAACGGUAACAGGGAGCUUGCUCCGCUGACGAGUGGCGAACGGGUGAGUAAUGUAUCGGAACGUACCAUAGAGUGGGGGAUAACUAUCCGAAAGGAUAGCUAAUACCGUAUAUUCUCUCCGGAGGAAAGCAGGGGACCGCAAGGCCUUGCGCUCUUUGAGCGGCCGAUAUCAGAUUAGCUAGUUGGUGAGGUAAAGGCUCACCAAGGCGACGAUCUGUAGCGGGUCUGAGAGGAUGAUCCGCCACACUGGAACUGAGACACGGUCCAGACUCCUACGGGAGGCAGCAGUGGGGAAUUUUGGACAAUGGGGGCAACCCUGAUCCAGCCAUGCCGCGUGUGUGAAGAAGGCCCUCGGUUGUAAGACGACUUAAGUACGAGGAGGAAGG